rnacentral:rRNA from 1 species
CAUGCAGUCGAGCGGAUGAGAGGAGCUUGCUCCUUGAUUUAGCGGCGGACGGGUGAGUAAUGCCUAGGAAUCUGCCUAGUGGUGGGGGAUAACGUUCCGAAAGGAACGCUAAUACCGCAUACGUCCUACGGGAGAAAGCGGGGGAUCUUCGGACCUCGCGCCAUUAGAUGAGCCUAGGUCGGAUUAGCUAGUUGGUGAGGUAAAGGCUCACCAAGGCGACGAUCCGUAACUGGUCUGAGAGGAUGAUCAGUCACACUGGAACUGAGACACGGUCCAGACUCCUACGGGAGGCAGCAGUGGGGAAUAUUGGACAAUGGGCGAAAGCCUGAUCCAGCCAUGCCGCGUGUGUGAAGAAGGUCUUCGGAUUGUAAAGCACUUUAAGUUGGGAGGAAGGGUAUUCACCUAAUACGUGAGUAUUUUGACGUUACCGACAGAAUAAGCACCGGCUAACUUCGUGCCAGCAGCCGCGGUAAUACGAAGGGUGCAAGCGUUAAUCGGAAUUACUGGGCGUAAAGCGCGCG